GAUGAACGCUGGCGGCGUGCCUAAUACAUGCAAGUCGAGCGAACAGAUGAGGAGCUUGCUCCUCUGACGUUAGCGGCGGACGGGUGAGUAACACGUGGAUAACCUACCUAUAAGACUGGGAUAACUUCGGGAAACCGGAGCUAAUACCGGAUAAUAUAUUGAACCGCAUGGUUCAAUAGUGAAAGACGGUUUUGCUGUCACUUAUAGAUGGAUCCGCGCCGCAUUAGCUAGUUGGUAAGGUAACGGCUUACCAAGGCAACGAUGCGUAGCCGACCUGAGAGGGUGAUCGGCCACACUGGAACUGAGACACGGUCCAGACUCCUACGGGAGGCAGCAGUAGGGAAUCUUCCGCAAUGGGCGAAAGCCUGACGGAGCAAAGCCGGGUGAGUGAUGAAGGUCUUCGGAUCGUAAAACUCUGUUAUUAGGGAAGAACAAAUGUGUAAGUAACUAUGCACGUCUUGACGGUACCUAAUCAGAAAGCCCCGGCUAACUACGUG
rnacentral:rRNA from 1 species